UACGGAGGGUGCGAACGUUAAUCGGAAUCACUGGGCGUAAAGCGCGCGUAGGCGGUCUGUUAAGUGGGAUGUGAAAUCCCCCGGGCUUAACCUGGGAAUUGCAUUUCAAACUGGCCGACUAGAGUACGGUAGAGGGAGGUAGAAUUUCCUGUGUAGCGGUGAAAUGCGUAGAUAUAGGAAGGAAUACCAGUGGCGAAGGCGGCCUCCUGGAUCGAUACUGACGCUGAGGCGCGAAAGCGUGGGGAGCAAACAGGG
rnacentral:rRNA from 1 species